CAGUCGCCGCGGUAAUACAGAGGGUGCAAGCGUUAAUCGGAAUUACUGGGCGUAAAGCGCGCGUAGGUGGUUUGUUAAGUUGGAUGUGAAAUCCCCGGGCUCAACCUGGGAACUGCAUCCAAAACUGGCAAGCUAGAGUAUGGUAGAGGGUGGUGGAAUUUCCUGUGUAGCGGUGAAAUGCGUAGAUAUAGGAAGGAACACCAGUGGCGAAGGCGACCACCUGGACUGAUACUGACACUGAGGUGCGAAAGCGUGGGGAGCAAACAGGAUUAGAUACCCCGGUAGUCCCUGUCUCUUAUAU
rnacentral:rRNA from 1 species